CCUACGGGAGGCAGCAGUAAGGAAUAUUGGACAAUGGGCGAGAGCCUGAUCCAGCCAUGCCGCGUGCAGGAAGAAGGACCUAUGGUUUGUAAACUGCUUUUGAAUGGGAGAAAACCUGGGUACGUGUACCCAGCUGAUAGUACCAUUAGAAUAAGCAUCGGCUAACUUCGUGCCAGCAGCCGCGGUAAGACGAAGGAUGCAAGCGUUAUCCGGAUUCAUUGGGUUUAAAGGGAGCGUAGGCGGAUAGAUAAGUCAGUGGUGAAAUCUCUGGGCUUAACCCAGAAACUGCCAUUGAUACUGUUUAUCUAGAGUACAUUUGCUGUGGGCGGAAUAUGACAUGUAGUGGUGAAAUACUUAGAUAUGUCAUAGAACACCGAUUGCGAAGGCAGCUCACAAAAAUGUAACUGACGCUGAGGCUCGAAAGUGCGGGGAUCAAACAGGAUUAGAUACCCUGGUAGUCCGCACUGUAAACGAUGAUUACUCGCUGCUUGGAGGCAACU
rnacentral:rRNA from 1 species